rnacentral:rRNA from 1 species
CGCAUCUGCUGGCACGUGAUAGGGAACACCGAGUGCCAGCAUACUAUGCUGGCUGUCCAGAUGUGUAAAAUACACCUGUUAGCAAGGGCCGGGCAAGACCGGUGCCAGCCGCCGCGGUAAA